UAUAUGGAGAGUUCGAUCCUGGCUCAGGAUGAACGCUGGUAGCAUGCUUAACACAUGCAAGUCGAACAGGAAGUGGUGUUUCUAGUGGCGAAUGGGUGAAUAACGCGUAAGAACCUGCCCUUGGGAGAGGAACAACUGGAAACGGUUGCUAAUACCCCAUAGGCUGGGAGCAAAAGGAGAAAUCUGCCCAAGAAGGGGUUCGUGUCUGAUUAGCUAGUUGGUGAGGCAAUAGCUUACCAAGGCGAUGAUCAGUAGCUGGUCCGAGAGGAUGAUCAGCCACACUGGGACUGAGACACGGCCCAGACUCCUACGGGAGGCAGCAGUGGGGAAUUUUCCACAAUGGGCGAAAGCCUGACGGAGCAAUGCCACGUGGAGGUGGAAGGCCUACGGGUCAUCAACAUCUUUUCUCGGAGAAGAAACAAUGACUUUUAUCUGAGGAAUAAGCAUCGGCUAACUCUGUGCCAGCAGCCGCGGUAAGAUAGAGGAUGCAAGCAUUAUCCAGAAUGAUUGGGCGUAAAGCAUCUGUAGGUGGCUUUUCAAGUCCACCGUCAAAUCCUAGGGCUCAACCCUGGACAGGUGGUGGAAACUACCAAGCUAGAGUAUGGUAGGGGCAGAGGGAAUUUCUGGUGGAGCGGUGAAAUGCAUUGAUAUCGGAAAGAACACCAAUGACAAAAGCACUCUACUAGGCCGACACUGACACUGAGAGACAAAAGCUAGGGGAGCAAAUGGGAUUAGAGACCAUGAAAAGUGAGUUGUUUGGGUCCUGGAGGAUUGACAGGGAGAACUACAAGCUUUUGUAGCCAAGAUAUUCAUCCAA
rnacentral:ncRNA from 1 species